ensembl:sense_intronic Gm43063 predicted gene 43063
UUCGGAAGAGCAGUCGGCACUCUUAACCACUGUGCCAUCUCACCAGCUCGGGGGAAAUCUUUUCUUAACAGUAAUAAUAAUUCUAUAUUAGAGCCUAUAACAAAUGAAUCGUGAUGGUCCAUUUUCAGUAUGAGAUACAUUCUGAGCUUGACAUCAGCAAAUCAAUGCUUUUUUUUUUUUUUUUNNNNNNUGUUCAAGAUAGAGUUUCUCUGUGUAGCUCUGUAGACCAGGCUGGACUUCAACUCAGAGAUCCACCUCCCUCUGNNNNNNNNNNNNNNNNNNNNNNNNNNNNNNNNNNNNNUAGACCAGGCUGGCCUUGAACUCAGAAAUCCGCCUGCCUCUGUCUCCCAAGUGCUGGGAUUAAAGGCCUGCGCCACCACUGCCUGGCUAUAACCUGAAUGCUUUUAAACUUCUUAGGGUUGAAAAGUUCUGGUCAGCUAUGAGAACAAGUCCAAGGUAUCAGGAGUGGGGAAGAUCUGCACUAUCCUUAGUGCAGAUCUCAAGCCCCAGGAGGGUCGGGAACUUGGGGUGAGCUCUAUGCUAGAUUAGUGGGCAAGUUCCUAACUCCUUGAAGAGCCAGCCUGUGACUCUGAGGGCAGGACAUUUUCGUGUUCAGGGACUACAGAACUCACUCUCUUUCACCAGCCACUGCUGUCUUUUCUGUAGGCUGAUAUCCAACUUUGCAAGGUUGAAAAGUGAACAGCUUCGAUUGUGCUACUCUGAGUCCUUAGGACUCUUAUUGUGAAAUGAGGAUCAUUGAGCGUGAUACACCUUGGGGUUACUAAGGUAGCUCCUUCUAUGACAGCCAAAGGGGUUCUUUUGAGGUUACCUUGUUAAUUGCCCUCAGAGAGGAAUUACCACAUAUCUCCCAACUUCCAUCUUGGAGCUCUCACAGGCAGAGUCAGAGUCAGUUGGCUUCCCUCAGGCUACUUUUGCCUGGUUUCUUGUUGUAGCAUGCUUUUAAAUGUCUCUUGUGAUAGUCAUAACUUUCAUGAAGC